AGCAGCCGCGGUAAUUCCAGCUCCAAUAGCGUAUAUUAAAGUUGUUGCAGUUAAAAAGCUCGUAGUUGAAUUUCGGGAUUAAUGUUUCGGUCAUGCCGUUGGUAUGUACUGAUAUUAUUGAUUUCUCACCUUCUAAAGAACCGUAAUGCCAUUAAUUUGGUGUCACGGGGAAUUAGGACUGUUACCUUGAAAAAAUUAGAGUGUUUAAAGCAGGCUCACGCUUGAAUACAUUAGCAUGGAAUAAUGAAAUAGGACAUCCGAUUCUAUUUUGUUGGUUUCUAGGAUCGAUGUAAUGAUUAAUAGGGAUAGUUGGGGGCAUUAGUAUUCAAUUGUCAGAGGUGAAAUUCUUGGAUUUAUUGAAGACUAACUACUGCGAAAGCAUUUGCCAAGGAUGUUUUCAUUAAUCAAGAACGAAAGUUAGGGGAUCGAAGACGAUCAGAUACCGUCGUAGUCUUAACCAUAGACUAUGCCGACUAGGGAUCGGAUGAUGUUAAUUUUUUAAUGACUC
rnacentral:rRNA from 1 species